GGCGCUGCCUACGGAGGUGGCAGCCAUCUCCUCCUCGGCAUCAUGGCCGCCCUCAGACCCCUUGUGAAGCCCAAGAUCGUCAAAAAGAGAACCAAGAAGUUCAUCCAGCACCAGUCAGACCGAUAUGUCAAAAUUAAGCAUAACUGGUGGAAACCCAGAGGUGUUGACAACAGGGUUGGUAGAAGACUCAAGGGCCAGAUCUUGAUGCCCAACAUUGGUUAUGGGAGCAACAAAAAAACAAAGCACAUGCUGCCCAUUGGCUUCCGGGAGUUCCUCGUCCACAACGUCAAGGAGCUGGAAGUGCUGCUGAUGUGCAAUAAAUCUUACUGUGCCAAGAUUGCUCACAAUGUUUCCUCCAAGAACCGCAAAGCCUUCGUGGAAAGAGCUGCCCAACUGGCCAUCAGAGUCGCCAAUCCCAAUGCCAGGCUGCGCAGUGAAGAAAAUGAGUAG